GGCCGGACACCGCCGAACUGUGCGCGGCCCAGCGCCGCCAUCAGACCGGGGACCCAUGGUUCCUCUGGGGUGAAUCCUGCGCUCGAGCACGGGCGCAGGUAGGGCAACUUCCGGCCCGAACCCGUCAGCUAACUCGGUAGGCGGGCGAGGAAGAAACG
rnacentral:sRNA from 2 species